rnacentral:lncRNA from 1 species
GGACUGCGCUGGGGCCCUGUGUUCCCUUCCUUGGCUCUAUCCGCCCCCACCCCAGCUCACACCUGGGCUCCCGGAGGCUCUGGAGGGGGGUGGGGCAAGUCACGGGAUUUUCCCUAUGACUGAGCAGAAAACACUUGCACAUACCUUGCUCCUGGCUCUGGGUGGAGGGCUGCGGGAGGGAAAAUGCCGCCAUCAAGCCUGGGCCGGGACUGAUGUUUGCUACCAGCACACUGGCUGGAGGGGAUGGCGAGUCCAGCCCAGCUUCCCCUGCAGGCUGGGGGCACCUCAGGAAGGGGUCUGAGCCUCUGGGUCUACAGAAAGGAUGCGUCAAAGUUUGUCAAAGUUUGCCCUUUGCCGAUUUCCAGAGAAAGGAGAUGGAAUCUUCUACAACCCCAUUUUAGCUCCUUAGAAAAGAGGGUUGGCGAGGACACACGGCCUGGCUCACACACCCUGGCACCAACUACUCACCUGGAACAUUCCUGGCUUCUCCGGUUGUCUCAUCUCCCACCAUUCCUUCUUCAACAGAGGAAACUGAGCAGAAGUGUUAAUGAGAAGAAAAAAGAAACCAGGUGCAGAAGCGGGUCAUGAGAUUGCCAUGGAACAUGACACAGAAGCACAGCAUCACAUAGAGACAGCUCCUCUCACUCCUGCCUCUAAAGCCUGUGCUCAUGUCUCGGCCUUCCUGGUGACAGAAUAAUCAUCCCUGUAUGCAACAAGUUUUCCUGACAUCAGUGUGUCCUAUACACCUUGGUUUCUCGAGGUGUCUCGCCUCCGGUAUCGUCAGGGAUUGAUGGAUGGAGAUGAAAUGAGCUCCUAUGUCCUCUCUCCUGCAGCACCGAUAUUGCCACGGGCUCUUGAGUUGGAGAAGCCACUGGGCUUCCCUGACCUGGCUUCCAUAAGGGGCUGCGUUCUCCUGCAGGCCCUAGAAGCCCUGGUCUUGCCUGCAGGUUACCCUGAGCUCGAGCCGGCUCUUCCCCGGGACGGGGUGCUGCAUUGUGCCUGAGCGUCCCUGGCUAGCUCUCAUUGUAGUCUCAGCACCAGCCUGUCUCUUCUUUCUUGCUGGCCUUGAUUUCUAGUAACUGCCAGAGCCCCUUAAUUGACAGUUCCUGGUCCUGCCUCCUGCCUCUUCCCAGGUGGAUAGAGUCCAUUCAGCAGGUGCACACUGUCAUGGAAUCAGGGUUCAGAGGAUAGCAGAGCUGGAGCCCCUUGUUCUAGUGAAAAGAAAACCAUCCAACUAGAGGAAGGGGUGUGACAAAGUUCCAGUUAGUAACAGAGCCCACACUGGAGCCUGGAUCCCCAGCUCCUACUCAGGGCUCUUUCCAUUCCUCAAAGCAUCCAGGCUCACCAGGUGACAUAACUGCUUAGAAUCACGUCUAGAAGGCUCUCCCCUGCCCAUCAGGGUCACCACUAUGCUGUUGUUAAGUGGUGACAUUUCUGGUGCCCUUCAAAUGCUGUGCAUGCAAGAAUCACUUGAACCCGGGAGGCGGAGGUUGCAGUGAGCUGAGAUCACACCACUUCACUCCAGCCUGGGCGACAGAGAGAGGUCUUGUCUCAAAGAAAACUAAACAAACACAAAAAGCAAGUGCUGUGUGUGUUCAAGAGGCCUCCUUCCAGGCGUCACCAGGGAUGCACUGGUGCUGGGCCAGGAAACACGUCCCACAGCAUCUUCUAGAAGACCAUCUUACAGGAGUUCACAAGAUAAAGCAGCAAACUCCGCACAGCAUGAUGGAGAGGAGCGGGAUUCAGAAGGCGAUCACUCGUGUCUGUGUGUAGUGUGCUGCGUCAUUUGCUCCUUAAAUAAACCAGCAAGAAAGGCCCAAAGCAGUCCCAUCUGAGAGCCCCAAAGCGAAUGCACAAGGGCAGGUCCACACGCCAGGUCUCUAAAUAUUUGAAAGUUAUAAAUCAAGUUAAUAAACUGGAAAAUAGGUUUCGUUCUUUCCUCCUGCCUUGACAAAUAGACCUUUACAACAAUGUCAAAGGCGAGGCUCUGAUUUGCAUCCUUGGACCCUUGAACGUAGAAGCGAAGUGGGAGUGAGGCCUCAGCCCUCACCUGUGGCUCCUUCGUACUUUUCCCACCCAGUGCUUGGACAGGGGAACAGCCUAGCCUGAGAGCCCAAGCUUCAUCCAAACCCCAUAGACCAGGAAGAGGCCACACAAGCUUGAACGUGGCACAUCUGGGCAGGAGAUCCCUGGGUCCUGGGUCAUCAGGGUCCUGGGUGGAAGGGAGGGAGUGGACUCUGAGUGGGCACCCCCUGGCCCCCAGCCAUUUUUGCUUGGAGAAAGCACAGGACAGGGCUCUCUCAAAUCCAGUGCAGGCAGCCCUCUUGCUCGUGGACCAAGACAGUACUGUAAAUAGUAAAAUAGUUUCCAUUUUACCGAUGAAGUAACUGUAGCUCAGAAAACUUUAGUGACCACAUUGCACAUACUAAUCACCAGAGGAGCUAGGACUUGACCGGGGUCUGCCUGACUCCAGGUCCCUGCUGUCACCAUCUCCAUUGCUGUCCCACUGUCAUCAUCACCUGGGACAUGCAGGGGGCCCCAUCGCCCUGAGCUGUCAGUAACACGGAAACAACCUCUGCCUGGGCAUCCUGUCCUGACCUCUCACCUGUUCAGCUCCUCUGAGCUAGGAGAGCCGCAAUACACUCCUUCCUCAGCCCCUGCCUUUGCAGCUGCGCUGAACCCUACAGCUGUGCCCCCUGUGCCUGCUGCUCCUCACCUCAGCUGCUCAUCUGCCUCCUGCUCUGCACGAAGCUUCUGCACAUGCCCUUCCAGAUGCUCUUCCCUUUGCUGCCUCAGGAUGGGCACCUCUCGAAGCUACAGUCCACUCCUCCUCCUCACCCAGGCUCAGGUGGCAUUUGUCACCUCCCUCCUCUAGCACUAAGGUGGAUGCUCUGUGUGGUGACUGCUCUGUUCAUUAUCUUCCUACCAAGAAGCUGCAUGUGUCAUAUCUCUAUGUCAACCCCCGGGUGGCAAAGAGCCAGCCGCCCCUCAAUUGGAACUAACAGCUUCCCUAGAGGACAGAAAGCCGGCCCUCACUGCCCUUCUGAGUUUCAGCCCAAAGCAGCCUCUCCUGAGACAUGAGGGCAGCAAGAGCCACCGCUUUUCAACAUGCUUAAGACAGUCACUUUGUACUCCUCUUGAAACCCUGGGCCCACAGAUGGAAAAGUCCCUUCCACAAGCAAACAGCAGAGGCUGGUGGUCUCCUGUCCCGGACUGGGAGUCUUCAUUGCCCUCUGGAGCAGGGCAGGAAUGUCGCCGCCCUAGGGUCCUCUGCCCUACGGAGCCCAACAGAAGUUUCAGCCUUUCUUCUCUCAUAUUCCCAGAACCCAGGAAUCACCUUCAAGCAGCUCACCAACUCGAAAGGGAACAGGAGGGACUGAUUUAGAGAAGGCUUUGUGCCCCGAGAGAGCCAAGAGAGCAGAGCCCUGUUGAGCUGUGCAUUUGGAGCGCCCGCUCGGGAGAAGGCCAGUCCUCACAGAGUCUGCCAGGCCCACAGGCUCUGCCCCAGCACCCACCCUGCCUGCCUCUGACAUCACCUCCCACACCUGCUCCACUCCCCGCCUGCUGCGUUCUGGCCUCGAGGCACCCGUGCUGGCCCCUGCUUGUGGCAGGCACGUUUGCUGGGCCAGGGCCUCUGCACUGACUGUUCCCUUGCCUAGAACACCCUUCCCCGAGACACCACAAGACCCCUCCCUCAUCUCCCUCAAAUCUUUGCUAGGAAACUACCUUAUUAGCGAGGCCAGCCCCUGCCCACCUUGCCUGAAAACAUGCCCACCCUUGCCCCUCCUCUGCCGUUACUUCCAAUCCAAGUCUACAGUUCUACCUUUCUGUAACUCACGGUGUUGCUCAUUCACUUAGCGUAUUCGUUGGUCAGCGCCUGCCUGCUUUCCUCUGCUAGACUGUCAGCUCUCAAGGGCCAGGUCCUUCAUCUAACCUGUUCACUAACAUUUUCCAAGAGCCGAGAACAGGGUCCGGUAUUUAGCGGUGCUGAUAUGCAUUUACUGAAUAGAUGAAUACAUGAAUUGAGAGAAAUUCUGAAAGACAAUACUUUAAGUUUAAAUCUUUUUUAUUUUGAGACAGGGUCUCUUGCUCUGUUGCCCAGGC